rnacentral:lncRNA from 1 species
UUUAAUUACCUUGUUUUGUCUUUACGGCUUUUCUGGGUUUGUCGUGCGCUUUCAAAACCAAUCAGACAGCAGAUCCAUCCAAUAAAAAAGUCACAUUGCCUAGUACGCUAUUUCUUGUUUUAGGCUAUUUUUCAUCAAGGCACAUCAUUGACACCAUUUAAGGUUGGCACCGUUUAUUUCAGCAAUGUUGUAUGGAAAAACACUUGAGGCUAUUCUCUGCAGUGCUAUUUUGGAAACUGUAAUUUUUGGUGUGUGUGUUUUUUCUAUCACUAUUCCUUCCAUUUGUCUCAAUUAAUUCUGCAAGCUCGCAGUCUAUUUUGCCCUGGUGAGUCAUCCAGCUCUGCGGUCAAGAGAAAUUCGUCGCGGAGGACAAUAAAGAGAGGAAAGGCACGACACCGCUCCCCCAGCCACAGCACAAAGACUCCGCGGUUCCGGACGCUUUUUUUUUUUUCUCUCCAUAUUUUGGUAGAUGACAAUCGCCCGUGUAUGGAUGUUAUCUGGGGGGGUGGACAAGGCCGUAACACUGACCUGCUUGUAGUUAGCGAGAAAAGCUAACUCGAUUAGCACCUGCACCUGCUUGCAAAUUAAGCGUGUUUUUGUUUUUUUUGCAAAGCUUCAUUUGGUAGUUGAAGUCAGUCGUCUGCAACACGACUCGAUCGCAGGGUUUUCCUGAUUUGUGCCUGCAAGUUGUGUGCAUGUAUUUUUUUUCUUCAAUGCAACGUGCCAUACGUUGAACCGGCAGUAUAAGCUACAGAAAAUAGGUUGGAGGCUCGUCUAGUCCCAUCUUCAUUCAUUGCAAAGCCGAUGUUGGAUACGUUGCCUUUGUUGCAGUUUUCCCCCCUUCUUUUUACUGCCAAUUCCUGCAACAUCUAUUGACUAUAUGUUCAAAGGUUUGCAGUUGAGAAAACUUAAAGAUGAUUUUUGUACCAAGGCUGUGUCUGUUGAUCAUAACGCAACAGUGGCCAAAUAGUAGCUUAACUUUGUAAAAAUCGAAUAAAUAUAUAUCUAAAUAUAUAUAUAUAUAUAUAUAACUGAACCCUUUCGGAAGUGUGUGGAGCUCACACCCGUUUACUCGAUCAUGCACGAUUGCCCGAAUUUACCUCAAUAAGUAGCAAGCAACAGCAUACAUUUGAAUCGAGUGUUACAUUUUUUAUAUUUGAUUAAAAAAAAACCUUUUCUCGAAAGUAUUACAUCAUUGCAAUAGCCUAACCGUUGCACUGAUUCACACACGGAAACCAAAGUAGCAAUAGGACGACGAGGAGGAAGGCCCCGGGGUUUUGUG